AUGCUAGUGAAAAUAAUUGAUUGUGUGUGUUCCAAGCUUUGUCAUUUCCAUUCCAGAGGUGGCUUUCCUGAUGGGAGACUCGUUUGCAAUGCACACUUUCACACACUCUUGGAUUCUUGCAGAAACAAACCCCUUCUCUUUAUUUCAUUAGCCGCCCUCCUCCUCAACAAACCCAUGUAUAUUUCACGAAACCCACACAUCAGGACACAUAAGUCUUUUUGGCAUCUUUUAUGUUAUGCAUUUUUUUUUUUCUUAAGGUUGUGGAAAACUGGGACUUACCCCAAAGCCGCAAAACAGGCAAUCACGAAGAGAAUUUGGGUAAGAAUGCAAUCUGAAGAGGAAAAAAAAAAAAAUAAUGAGGAAGAAAAAAAGAAAAGAAAGGGUUUUUGCUGGUGGCUCCAUCGGUAGAAUCUGCCCACAAUGCAGGAGACCCAGUUUCAAUCCCUGGGUUGGGAAGAUCCCCUAGAGAAGGAAAUGGCAACCGACUCCAGUAUUCUUGCCUGGAGAAUUCCAUGGACAGAGGAGCCUGGGGAGCUACAGUCCAUGGGAUCACAAAGAGUUGGACACAACUGAGUGACUAACACUUUCACUUUUCUUUCAAACAAGAAGGCAUUUUUUUCUGGUUGCUUCCAAUUGUCUUUCAUGAAUCCUUGUAAAGCUCACCUGAUAAGGAUGUACCAGUCUAUCUUUAAUAGUUCCCCCUCCACUUUUUCCCCUGUGAGAAUCUGCUAAAGCUACUCAAGGCCCUCCCCAGUAUUUUGGUUGGUUCACAGGGGUUUCUCUUACCUGUGGGGCUCCAGGCCUGAUGCUGACUGGGUCACGGUGAAAACUUCAAGAAGAACUGAGCUGACCUGAGUGGCCCGAGGAGUAAGUUCAGAUGUUGAGGAACUCAUUUAUCUUCCACAGUGCGCUCCUUCACAACUCCACAACCAACUACAAACUACUUAACCCAUCAAAACUCACAGCAAAAUUCUGGAGAGCAAUUAUCUUUCAAUAAAAAAUAAAUUAAUUGAAAAAAAAAAAAAACU
rnacentral:lncRNA from 1 species